rnacentral:rRNA from 1 species
AACGAACGCUGGCGGCAGGCUUAACACAUGCAAGUCGAACGGGCACCUUCGGGUGUCAGUGGCAGACGGGUGAGUAACGCGUGGGAACGUACCCUUCGGUUCGGAAUAACCCAGGGAAACUUGGGCUAACACCGGAUACGUCCGCAAGGAGAAAGAUUUAUCGCCGAAGGAUCGGCCCGCGUCGGAUUAGCUAGUUGGUGGGGUAAUGGCCCACCAAGGCGACGAUCCGUAGCUGGUCUGAGAGGAUGANCAGCCACACUGGGACUGAGACACGGCCCAGACUCCUACGGGAGGCAGCAGUGGGGAAUAUUGGACAAUGGGCGAAAGCCUGAUCCAGCCAUGCCGCGUGAGUGAAGAAGGCCUUAGGGUUGUAAAGCUCUUUCAGCGGGAAGAUAAUGACGGUACCCGCAGAAGAAGUCCCGGCUAACUUCGUGCCAGCCGCCGCUGUAA